UACGUAGGUGGCAAGCGUUGUCCGGAUUUACUGGGCGUAAAGAGCGCGCAGGCGGUCGAUUUAGUCGCGUGUGAAAGCCCCCGGCUCAACUGGGGAGGGUCACGCGAUACUGAUCGACUCGAAGGCAGGAGAGGGUGGUGGAAUUCCCGGUGUAGUGGUGAAAUGCGUAGAUAUCGGGAGGAACACCAGUGGCGAAGGCGACUACCUGGCCUGUUCUUGACGCUGAGGCGCGAAAGCUAGGGGAGCAAACGGG
rnacentral:rRNA from 1 species